rnacentral:rRNA from 1 species
UGCUGGGCGGAUUAGUGGCGAACGGGUGAGUAACACGUGAGUAACCUGCCCUUGACUCUGGGAUAAGCCCGGGAAACUGGGUCUAAUACCGGAUAGGAGCGCCUGUCGCAUGACGGGUGUUGGAAAGAUUUUUCGGUCAUGGAUGGACUCGCGGCCUAUCAGCUUGUUGGUGAGGUAAUGGCUCACCAAGGCGACGACGGGUAGCCGGCCUGAGAGGGUGACCGGCCACACUGGGACUGAGACACGGCCCAGACUCCUACGGGAGGCAGCAGUGGGGAAUAUUGCACAAUGGGCGGAAGCCUGAUGCAGCGACGCCGCGUGAGGGAUGACGGCCUUCGGGUUGUAAACCUCUUUCAGUAGGGAAGAAGCGAAAGUGACGGUACCUGCAGAAGAAGCACCGGCUAACUACGUGCCAGCAGCCGCG